rnacentral:SRP_RNA from 1 species
CGGUGAGGGUCAUACGGUCAGCUCCUGCUGAAUCCCCCAGGGCAGAAAUGCAGCAAGGGUAGGUGGUUGAGCGACUAGGUGUGAUUCCUCACUUUUU